AGCACAGCCGCGGUAAUACGAAGGGUGCAAGCGUUAAUCGGAAUUACUGGGCGUAAAGCGUGCGUAGGCGGUGAGUUAAGUCUGCUGUGAAAUCCCCGGGCUCAACCUGGGAAUGGCAGUGGAUACUGGCUCGCUAGAGUGUGUCAGAGGAUGGUGGAAUUCCCGGUGUAGCGGUGAAAUGCGUAGAGAUCGGGAGGAACAUCAGUGGCGAAGGCGGCCAUCUGGGACAACACUGACGCUGAGGCACGAAAGCGUGGGGAGCAAACAGGAUUAGAUACCCCCGUAGUCCCUGUCUCUUAUAUA
rnacentral:rRNA from 1 species